UAUCAAUAAGCGGAGCAAAAGGGUCCCUGCCUAGCACUAGGUCUGGAACACAGAGAGGUACCCUGUCUUGNCACUUGGCCGUUUCAUNUAUGUUCCUUGGAACAGGCCGUCAGCAAUAGAGGUGAGAAUCCCGUGCGAUGAGGUGUCCAAUUCCGGUUAAGACGUUUUCGAAGAGUCGAGUUGUUUGGGAAUGCAGCUCUAAGUGGGUGGUAAAUUCCAUCUAAAGCUAAAUAUUGGCGAGAGACCGAUAGCGAACAAGUACUGUGAAGGAAAGAUGAAAAGAACUUUGAAAAGAGAGUGAAAAAGUACGUGAAAUUGUUGAAAGGGAAGGGUAUUCAAUCAGACUUGGUUUUAAGUUAUCAUUACUCCUUGUGGGUGGUGCUCUAGCUUUUUACUGGGCCCGCAUCAGUUUUGGUGGCAAGAUAAUAACAGUUGAAUGUAUCUCCUUUUGGAGUGUUAUAGCUUCUGUUGAUAUUGCCUACUGAGAACUGAGGUCUGCGGCUUUUGCCUAGGAUGCUGGCGAUAAUGAUUGAAUACC
rnacentral:rRNA from 1 species